GCGGAGGUAGCCCAAUCGGCAGAGGCAGCCGGCCUGAAACUCAGAUUCUCGCUCCAAUGUCAGCAUUCUCCACUGAUCACCAGAUCGACCGGGCGGGGACGACGACACCGGAUGCCGGUUCAACUCCGGCCCGCCACG
rnacentral:tRNA from 1 species